UGGUAGAGGUGCGGUAUUUAUCAGUAGCUUGGUUUAUGAUGUCGGCAAACAGAACCGAGUGAAAGGAAAUAUCGCCGAAAUAAAUUGCUUUUGCCAAACGGCAGUUUAUUGGGUUGCAGCAGAAUAUGCUGCAAACUGUCACUUAUGUGAAGCGCUAUCC
rnacentral:ncRNA from 1 species